AGUACUUAUAACACUUCCGUAAAGGCAAGCUUCGGAUCAUUUUGCACAUAAGUUACUUGUUCAGAAUCGUUUGAGAUUUGCUUGGUAAAGUAGGUUUAAAAGAAGUUGGACUCAUUUUAUUGGAUCACAAAAUAUAAUGAACGGAGCGAUGGCCAUGGCACCAACAUCCCAGAAUAAUGUGGAACCUCCAAACAAGAAACCUAGAGUUGAAGAUGUUACAGCGGAGAGACAGUACAGAAUCUGUGGCCUACGACUGAGCUGUGAUCAUGAGCGUGCGCCAAACAAAGAAAGAGAACGCUACAUUCGUUGAACAGAACAAAUCAGAGUUUUGCAAACUCCCACUGACACAGCAUCUAUUGUCGAGUACCAAAUAUGAUGCGUAUGUUAGAUAGGGAAUGCAUCAGAGUUCUUGCCCGGCCCUAUAUAUGAUCUCAAUCAAAUAAAACAAGUUGUUGCUGGACCUGGAGCUAAAUAUCUUACAUUACCUGGCAUUCUAGGUGCGGGUCUUCCAAAAAUUACAUCUGAACAACAGGAUACAGUAAAUAGAGCAAAAAAGUAUGCAAUGGAACAAAGCAUCAAAAUGGUUUUAAUGAAGCAGACUCUCGCGCAUCAACAGCAGCAAAUGGCUAGUCAACGGAAUCAGGUGCAGAGACAGCAGGCUCUCGCCCUCAUGUGCAGGGUAUAUGUGGGCAGCAUCAGUUUUGAAUUAAAAGAGGACACGAUUAGGCAAGCUUUCUUGCCUUUUGGUCCUAUAAAAUCAAUCAACAUGUCUUGGGAUCCAGUUACGCAGAAGCACAAAGGAUUCGCAUUCGUCGAAUACGAGAUACCUGAAGCAGCACAACUUGCUUUGGAACAAAUGAAUGGUGUCAUGAUUGGUGGACGUAACAUCAAGGUUGUGGGGCGUCCGUCGAAUAUGCCCCAAGCCCAGUCCGUUAUUGAUGAAAUUACAGAAGAAAGUAAACACUAUAAUCGAAUUUAUAUUGCGUCAAUCCAUCAAGAUUUAACCGAGGAUGAUAUUAAAUCCGUGUUUGAAGCGUUUGGACCGAUUACAUAUUGUAAAUUGGCACAAGGCAGCUCGCCCCAUCGACAUAAAGGUUACGGUUUUAUUGAAUACGAAACAAUGCAGGCCGCGUUAGAAGCUAUCGCAUCAAUGAAUUUAUUUGACUUGGGUGGGCAAUACUUGCGAGUAGGCAGAGCUAUUACUCCACCAAAUGCUCUUAUGGGUCCGCCAAGUGGAACUAGUAUGAUGCCUACCGCUGCUGCGGUUGCAGCUGCAGCUGCAACUGCAAAAAUUCAAGCAAUGGAUGCUGUAGCUAGUAAUGCAGUUGCUCUUGGUUUGACCAAGCUUGGAGCAGCUGCCCCGCCGAUUUUGAAUCAAGCUUUGCCUGGUAUAGUAAGACCCACUAUUGCCCCAGCGACAAUGAUGGCACCGCCAACUAUAGCAACGGUAGCACCUGUUAUACCUCCACCUGGUAUAGCUAUACCGCAAACUUUAACUCGGCCUCCUGCGAUAAUUCAACCGAUACCUGGACAGCCAGUUGUUAUACCUCCUCCAGCUGUUGUAGCACCUACAAUAGUAGGAACUCCAGUUAUACCUGUUACAACUACGACGAAUUCCGAUAUUAUGAGACGGGCACAAGAACAAGCAGCUCAUCAAAAACAACAGGAAGAAUUACAGAAGAAAUUGUUAGAGGAGACAGAACCCCAAACAUUACAGCAACAAGAAAAUAUGUCGAUCAAAGGACAAAGUGCGCGUCAUCUUGUUAUGCAGAAACUUAUGCGCAAAGUUGAAUCCCGUGUUGUUAUUUUACGAAACAUGGUAGCCCCAGAAGAUGUAGAUGAAAGUUUACAAGAAGAAAUUCAAGAUGAAUGUUCUAAAUUUGGAGUUGUAGAAAGAGUUAUUAUUUAUAAUGAACGACAAUCGGAAGAUGACGAAGACGCAGAAGUUAUCGUAAAAAUAUUUGUUGAAUUUUCUCAAAUGAGUGAAGCGGAACGUGCAAGGGAUUCUUUGAAUGGUCGUUAUUUCGGUGGACGUUUAGUGAAGGGAGAAUUAUAUGAUCAAGCUUUAUUUGAUAAUAGUGACUUUUCUGGUUGAUUAUAAGAUACUUAUUAUCUGUUGAAUUCGUCAGUUUCUUUGGAACAAAAGAAAAGUUAUACUAUCGUUGAGUGAUAUUCCGUGCGUCUAAUCGAAAGUACAUAAUACAUCUUUUGAAGUUUCAACACUUAUAGUCUAUCUUCUGACUAAGAAGUCUAGCUUUUAAUUUUUAUCUACAUUUUUGUAGACUUUAAAUUAAUAGAUCAGUCAAAACUGUUAUCAUUACUUAGUAAGAUAAUAGUUUUAAAAAAUCGUUUUAACACUUAGCCAACCGCGCGCGUCACAGCGAGCUAUACGUUUUUCACCGCGCUCGAACAAGUUAACCUAUACGCUGUCCACCGCGCAUGUUUCCAAGGUAAUGAUUUUAUUUAACGAUUUCACAUAUUGUUUAUACAAAACAUCAAAUUAAAAGUAUAUAUUAAAAGUAUAAAAAAAUAUAGGUAACAUUAAAAACAUUAAAGGUGAUUAACUCUUUCGCUACGGGCGGCUUCUCCGCCGCGGCAUUCCCGCUGAACGAGUCGCCACGCCAAAACAAGCAUAGUAGUAACAGAGAAAGAUCAUAAACGUGGCCGCGUUUACGUCUCACUGCAAACCGAGCUGCUCUGACGGUGUUUUUCGAAGAAAAAAACUUUCCUCAAAACAGAGUAUUUAUAACUUCUUAAUAAUAUAAUAUAAUAUGAUAUGAUACUAAUAGCUUUUAAUAAUGGUAUUGCGUGUAGUAUUUUUCGAAACAUGGUGUUACACAUUGGCCAACAUCGCAAAUCUGGCACUGGCAUCGCGAUUCGCUCCACAGUUUCCAUCAAUCGAUUAUAAUCGAAAACACACUUUGGUUUUUUUAAUCAUUUUCUGCGUGCGAUAAUGACGUUUCGAAACUUUUCAUUGUGGAAAGAGGACAACAUAUACAUUGCCCUCUCGUCACACCGCUUUAUUGUUAAUAAAAGGCUUGAGGAUGUACAAUACUCGUCGUAUGUAUAAUACGCGGCAUCUUACGCAGAGUGACUAUAGUCGCCCGUAGUAUGUCAGUGGUAUCUUACGCAGAGCGAUUGUAGUCGCCCGUAGUAUAUCACGAAAGGGUUAAACAUAAAUAACACAACUUGAACGUGAAAUUAAAAAUUCAUGAUGCAUUUUAAUAUUUUUUUACAAUGUGGUAUCGUUCGAUUAUAGCUUUAUGUAGUCAUAACGGAUAUUGUAACUUUUUAAUUAAUUUUAAUAUCACUAAAUUGGUGUAUUUUAUUAUAUACUGUAUUUUAUAAAAGCAGAAAAAGUGGCGCAAUCAAUUGGGAACAAUUUCAGGUGAACAAUAACUGAUAAUAACAAAAAAAAAAGAAGAGAACGCGUUGCAAAAGUCAAAAGGAGAGAUCUUCCCGUUCGGUCACGCAGAACUCCCUAUUCGGUUGGCUAAAUGUCAAAGUAUAAGUUGGAAAUAACUAUUGAAUAGUUUUGCUCAAUGGAAGAUUUGCAAUUGGAUCACUAUUACUUCUGUAUAAAACGGAUAUUUUAUUUAAAUUCAGUAGCAGACUAAUUUUUGUUCAGAGAGGGUUAAUUUACAGAAGAAUAUAAGUACAUAUGCA